AUACCUUAUGGUCUUCACUGACGGCAUCAGAUGUGAAGUAAAGAUUUAUCGGUUAUGGAUGGGGAUGCGUCUGAUUAGCUUGUUGGCGGGGUAACGGCCCACCAAGGCAACGAUCAGUAGGGGUUCUGAGAGGAAGGUCCCCCACAUUGGAACUGAGACACGGUCCAAACUCCUACGGGAGGCAGCAGUNAGGAAUAUUGGUCAAUGGGCGAGAGCCUGAACCAGCCAAGUAGCGUGCAGGAUGACGGCCCUAUGGGUUGUAAACUGCUUUUGUAUGGGGAUAAAGUCAAUCACGUGUGAUUGUUUGCAGGUACCAUACGAAUAAGGACCGGCUAAUUCCGUGCCAGCAGCCGCGGUAAUACGGAAGGUCCGGGCGUUAUCCGGAUUUAUUGGGUUUAAAGGGAGCGUAGGCUGGAGAUUAAGUGUGUUGUGAAAUGUAGACGCUCAACGUCUGACUUGCAGCGCAUACUGGUUUCCUUGAGUACGCACAACGUUGGCGGAAUUCGUCGUGUAGCGGUGAAAUGCUUAGAUAUGACGAAGAACUCCGAUUGCGAAGGCAGCUGACGGGAGCGCAACUGACGCUGAAGCUCGAAGGUGCGGGUAUCGAACAGGAUUAGAUACCCUGGUAGUCCGCACAGUAAACGAUGGAUGCCCGCUGUUGGUACUUGGUAUCAGCG
rnacentral:rRNA from 1 species